GAUGAACGCUGGCGGCGUGCCUAAUACAUGCAAGUCGAGCGAACGGACGAGAAGCUUGCUUCUCUGAUGUUAGCGGCGGACGGGUGAGUAACACGUGGAUAACCUACCUAUAAGACUGGGAUAACUUCGGGAAACCGGAGCUAAUACCGGAUAAUAUUUUGAACCGCAUGGUUCAAAAGUGAAAGACGGUCUUGCUGUCACUUAUAGAUGGAUCCGCGCUGCAUUAGCUAGUUGGUAAGGUAACGGCUUACCAAGGCAACGAUGCAUAGCCGACCUGAGAGGGUGAUCGGCCACACUGGAACUGAGACACGGUCCAGACUCCUACGGGAGGCAGCAGUAGGGAAUCUUCCGCAAUGGGCGAAAGCCUGACGGAGCAACGCCGCGUGAGUGAUGAAGGUCUUCGGAUCGUAAAACUCUGUUAUUAGGGAAGAACAUAUGUGUAAGUAACUGUGCACAUCUUGACGGUACCUAAUCAGAAAGCCACGGCUAACUACGUGCCAGCAGCCGCGGUAAUACGUAGGUGGCAAGCGUUAUCCGGAAUUAUUGGGCGUAAAGCGCGCGUAGGCGGUUUUUUAAGUCUGAUGUGAAAGCCCACGGCUCAACCGUGGAGGGUCAUUGGAAACUGGAAAACUUGAGUGCAGAAGAGGAAAGUGGAAUUCCAUGUGUAGCGGUGAAAUGCGCAGAGAUAUGGAGGAACACCAGUGGCGAAGGCGACUUUCUGGUCUGUAACUGACGCUGAUGUGCGAAAGCGUGGGGAUCAAACAGGAUUAGAUACCCUGGUAGUCCACGCCGUAAACGAUGAGUGCUAAGUGUUAGGGGGUUUCCGCCCCUUAGUGCUGCAGCUAACGCAUUAAGCACUCCGCCUGGGGAGUACGACCGCAAGGUUGAAACUCAAAGGAAUUGACGGGGACCCGCACAAGCGGUGGAGCAUGUGGUUUAAUUCGAAGCAACGCGAAGAACCUUACCAAAUCUUGACAUCCUUUGACAACUCUAGAGAUAGAGCUUUCCCCUUCGGGGGACAAAGUGACAGGUGGUGCAUGGUUGUCGUCAGCUCGUGUCGUGAGAUGUUGGGUUAAGUCCCGCAACGAGCGCAACCCUUAAGCUUAGUUGCCAUCAUUAAGUUGGGCACUCUAAGUUGACUGCCGGUGACAAACCGGAGGAAGGUGGGGAUGACGUCAAAUCAUCAUGCCCCUUAUGAUUUGGGCUACACACGUGCUACAAUGGACAAUACAAAGGGCAGCGAAACCGUGAGGUCAAGCAAAUCCCAUAAAGUUGUUCUCAGUUCGGAUUGUAGUCAGCAACUCGACUACAUGAAGCUGGAAUCGCUAGUAAUCGUAGAUCAGCAUGCUACGGUGAAUACGUUCCCGGGUCU
rnacentral:rRNA from 1 species